GGGGAGAUGCCCGAGUGGUCUAAGGGGUCACGUUUAGGCCGUGAUUGGCUUCCGCCAGCGUGGGUUCAAACCCCACUCUCCUCA
rnacentral:tRNA from 1 species